UGGCAGCCAGUUGGGCUUCUUCCUGCCUUGAAUACCGCAUUCCCUGGUUAUUCAAGCUCAGUCAUUAGCACCCUGUCCCCCCACUGAAAUUAUGAAUGAAAAGCCUUGUUGUUCUUUACAAAUAACUCGGGCUUCCUCAGUCAGUCAAAUUCAAAUGGCAGUGACUGCCAGACAAAGCGCCUGUAUGAUGGACAGUCCUCUCAGCAAGCCAUCAAGGCACACAGGAAGUUUUUAAAGGCACAAUCUAGGAACUCUGUGUCCUGGAGUUCAAAAAGAUGUCGUGGACUUAGCCCAUUGAUUUAUUUAGGGAACGAAAACCCUGAACCUGAGAAUUAAUGAUGUGUCUCAUUGUAGGUUUUUCUCCUAAGGCCUCUGCAACCUCAGGCUCUGUUGCUGCAGCUGGAUCCACACGGGCCAACAUUUGUGUUUGCACCAACCCCCUUUAGGAGCCCACCUGCCUGGAUCUGAUUUCAGCCUUGGAGCUGUCAUUUCCUGCCAUCACAAGAGGUCCAUGAGCUAAGUCUGUGAGUCCUGUCAUAUGAAAAAGUGACAUCAAGAUUGCAGGAGAGCUGACAUCAUGUGCUGAAAGAGGAGUGACAGCAAGGCUGACAGAGAAGCUUAACUGGGCAGUCAAGUGUGAAGAAAGUGCAGUUGGACAGGUGUCUAUAGAUGACAAGAUGAGAGAAAAAAGUACCAAGAACUAAUAACUGUCAGAAGAAGGGAUCCAUUUAAUUUAUUUAUAUAUUUAUUUAUAGUUUUAUUGCUUGCCUUAUUGCCCUGGAGAACCAUGCAUUUUCUCUGGACUGCAGUGAAGAAACUGUUCUUGCUUUUACUUUGCCUUUGCCUCAGUCUUGCAGUCACACUCCCUUAACACUUGUUGUGAAAUCUAGACUCUAUUAAAGUCAAAGGGAGUUUUGCCAUCAAGUUUAGUGUGGCCAGAAUUUUACUCAGUUUGUAAGUCUGGCAGCGUCAGCAAUGUUGGAGUUGCAUAGACCAAGGUUAAAUUUGACAACAGGAAGGGAACUUUUCCCACAUUCCCCCCACUCCUCUUCCCACAAGAAAGGUAUAAGCCACUGUUGAAAGACAGUUAAUCGUCCUUAGUCAGAUCUGUGUAAACAGUGUGAACUUGGAGGAAAAACACCCAUUCUGAAACGUAUAGGCUAAAUACAGCCUGCAAACUCAGUUUGUCCAGCUUGUAACCUACUCCCAGGAGUAGCAGCAAGAGCAGCUUGGGAAUUAAUUACAUAGCAAAUUCAUGGUUUCUGGGAAACAUGGAGCUAGUUUGCAUGCCAGCCCAAUGGAGAACUCCAUGAACACUGUAGUUUGGGCUAUGUGAGUCGUUAAAUGCUGGGGUAGAAGGCUCUCACUGGCUCUUAAAAACAGGUAUUUGCCCAGACAGCCAGAAAAAAUUGGGAACUACUGAUUUAGAUCACAGUAAAAUUUUCUUUUGAGAUUCUUGUCAGUGCUUCCACCAUUCAACCAGGAAGAAGUUGGGCUGCCAAAUGAAUUGAGGUUGAAACCUGUUUCUGAGCAUAUCUCUGGGUUCAGGACAUAAAUGUAACAGAUGAAGUUUUGACUCUUUUGAAGUCUAUAGGAAAACUACCCUUGACUUUGAUGAGGUCUGAAUUUCAUCUUUUUCCCAUCACCUUCUUCUUCCCCCUUCAUUUAAUUCACCUCAUAAAACAAAAACUGAGACCCAUGUGUGUUUUUGUAUAGCUGUCUAGAUUCCUUUGAGCCAUGCACUAGUGUACAGGCUCCAUUUGUAUGUACAAAUGCCAGCUAUACAUAUGCAAUUGUAACUGUGCAUGAGAAGAUCCUCUACAACCUUAGGCUUCAACUUAUGAAAAUCUGAUUCUGGAAGCUUUAUGGUUCCAGACUCUUUUAAGAAGAGUCAGGGAGCCAAGGGAUGUGUCUGUCUGCUACAUUUUGCAAUGAGCUUUUUACUUGGGAAUAAAACCUGCAAGAUGCUGAGUGCUGCUGUUUGCUUUAACAAGAAUCCCUUUGAAGGCAUGGUAAAGUGGGAUACAAUUUUGUGAGAAUCCAAUAAUGAGAAUCAUGAGGAAAAGAAAAGGCCUUAAUUGACUCUGUCUUUAAGUUUUCUGGAGUCCUUUGUAUGGAUUUUCUAAUGCGUAGAAGGGCUUAACACACAUUUUUCCUCUGUCUGCACUCGGGGUGAAUAGGCCCUGCUGGUGUCAACUGCACAAGUAGCACAGACAUCACGUCUUUCAUCCUCAGAAGUUCUGCAGUUACUUGGCUUCAGACACAUGGAAGUUUUACCUGAGCAACGACAGGGAGAUAAGGCUCAUUAGCUAAUUAACUCUCACAACGCCCAGGUCACACCCCUUCCGCAGCCGGUUGGGCACAGGUGUGUUGGACAUGCAGAUGUGCACAAACAUGCCCUUUGUAGAACAGCAUCUCCCCUCUGUGCAGCGGCUGCUGUGCCUCAGCACGUGUUGUGCCGCUCAGUGAGGAUGAUUUGAAGAUACAUUUUUGUUACACAAUAUAGCCACCAUGCCCUGGGAUAUUUUAGGUCUCAUCUUGGUGAAAUUCCCUACCUGUGUAUACCUAGGUGUUCCAGAUGCUAAUUAUCCUACAGCAAUCUGACACCUGUGCUACCUCACAGCUGUAUUUGUGAUGCAUAAAAAGGUGCUUUUAGUAUGUAAUGUAUGAUCAUCAAGUUUUAAAAACAUUUAAUUGACGGGGAAAAUUGGAACAAGAAGGGACAAAGCUCCCCUUGCAGGUUUGAAGCCCACAGAAAGCAAUGCUCUAUGCUCCCUCUGCUGGCACUGGGGCAGCCAGUCCUUUCUCUCCUAGAUAGACACUAUUUCAGCACGAAGAAACUUACACAUUUAGUGGCACUACUUUUGUUAAGUGUAAUAAAUAAUAAGCCAUUUAAGAUCUUUUCCCCCUCAUUCUGUUUUUCAGAAACAAGGGUUUGAGAAAGAAACAGAAAGCAUAGCUAGGCUGCAUGAUUCUGCAUUUAUACUUAUGUCUAGCCUGAAUACACUGCUUCUUGUUACAUAAACU